rnacentral:ncRNA from 2 species
UAUUACUAUUUUGAUACAGGUGCCCGCAAGGGCCUAACAGAAAAGCCGGUUCAAAACCGGCGCGGUCCCGCCACUGUAACGGGGAGCAAAGCCAUGAUUGAGCCACUGAGACCGAUUGUCUUGGGAAGGUAUUGGCAGAGUGAUGAUCCGGAGCCAGGAGAACUGCCUGUAUAGCAAUCACCGU